CACAGGAUGGAGGAAACAACGCUGCUGUGUCUCCUCUUUCUGACUGCAGUGCUGAUCUGCACGACACACCAAGCUCGCCUGACUGUGAGUCCCAGCAGCUCUCAGCUGUUUGAA